rnacentral:lncRNA from 1 species
GAGGAGGGAAGAGAGAAAAAAACUAGAAAUGGAUUCUUUUUGUGAAUAAAAUUCUAUGGUCAUAGUAUAACCAUUACAAUGCUAUGUUUGUCAUUUUAAUGUAAUAUAGAAUUGAGUUUGAUUAUAUUUUUCCUUCUUAUUAAUUAUUACAUCCAUUGUUUUAAUUAAUGAAGUUGAUUAUCUUAAUAUAUAAUUGAGUUGAAUUUUCCCUUCUUCUUAUUAAUUAUUACAUCCAUGGUUCAAUUGAUUCUCACUUAGGGCAAUAUAGAAUUGGUUUUU